rnacentral:lncRNA from 10 species
GAAAGCAGAAACUGGGUGGGCCCAGCAAUCUGUAUUAACAAGCCCUUCAGGUGAUUCUGAUGCACACUACUGUUCCAGAAGCACUAAUUUCCAGAGUUGGCUUUCUUGGAGGGGAAGUCGAGAAAGCCUAAAUUACUUUUUUCUAUGUAAGAGAAUUUAUGAUGUUUAACAUUUGGUGUGUGACAAUAAGUGUUUUUGCUGAUUUUUAUUAAUCAGCGAGUUCCUGGGGAAAACCCCAGGGCAAAACGCUCAGAAAUGGAUUCCUGCACGAAGCACUAGACGAGAUGACAACUCCGCAGCAAACAACUCCGCAAACGAAAAAGAACGACAUGAUGCAAUCUUCAGGAAAGUAAGAGGCAUACUAAAUAAGCUUACUCCUGAAAAGUUUGACAAGCUAUGCCUUGAGCUCCUCAAUGUGGGUGUAGAGUCUAAACUCAUCCUUAAAGGGGUCAUACUGCUGAUUGUGGACAAAGCCCUAGAAGAGCCAAAGUAUAGCUCACUGUAUGCUCAGCUAUGUCUGCGAUUGGCAGAAGAUGCACCAAACUUUGAUGGCCCAGCAGCAGAGGGUCAACCAGGACAGAAGCAAA